CUCCCCCAUCCUUACUGCAGGCACAGUAAAAGCUGUAUUGUGUACUGUCAUUGUCCUGGGGGUAGAUAAAAAGCCUUUUUCCCUCCCCGGUGGGAAUUAAUGUGAUAUUCUCUGGGGCCUUUAGAACAGGCUGACAAC